GUUAAGUGGGCACACUGCUACCUCCUUCACAGGGCUGCUGAGAAGAAAGGAGACAGGCGCAUCCGCACACAGAAAGCACUCAGUAAAUGCUGUUUCCCCCCUUCCCCCUAUACAAAGAGACUGAAAGCAACCGCGGCUGCCCGGAGGUCCGAACUGGAGGGUGGCCGCAGCCGUGACUUCCUUGGGAACCGCGCUGCCUCGACUCGGCUACCUCUCUGCGAAGCACUCGCUAAGCCGGGCAGCCCCGGGGUCGCUUAGCGGCCCAGGAGGCGCCAGCGAUCCUGUUCCCCUGCAGAGCUAUGGGGACCGGAAGGCGAAACAGAGCUGUCGACGCGGGAGCAUACGCUGCCCACCAGUGGAGCGCAGGUAAAGAAAGAGCGCGCGAUUUCCCGGCGCGGAGAGGGGUGGGGGAAGCCCCACCAGGACUGGGCGGCGCCCGGCUUGGAGAAUCAGUAACUGCGAGGCAGGGGAUGGAGCACUCCCAUGGCCUGGUUGCGCUGAGAAAGGAGUUGUGGCUCAUCUGGAUGCUGCCGACUGGGUAGGAUUUAUGAUUUGCCUGGAUUGAAGUGGGCGGGGGUGUUGUCGGGCGUCGGGGGCGGGUGUUCGGGGAGGUGGCAAGGGGCGGGAGAAGACGAUCGCAAGCUGUCUUGAACCCCUUUUGCAUCUCCUCAUCUCUUCCUGGGAAGGAAUAUGGGGGUGGGAGGUCAUCCAACUUCUAGUCCCUUUCUCUCCGGCAGGUCAUCAAAGCCGAAUCCGAAUUUGAAUUCUGUGCGGCUGAUUGCAGAGCUGUCUUGAGGCCCUGAGGACUGGGAUCUGCGACCCCCAGUGGACAAAAGUCGACUCUACCCCAGAGGCUAAUUUUCUCAAGGCAGGCACCUGUUGAGAGGCUGCAAGUAAAAUACAGGGGAACGCUAGUUUCCGAGCUCAUGUAAGAAUCUGAGAAAUAACGGGGGUAAACUUUGACAAAGGGGUGUGUGAUUGAGACCUGAGGUCAUGAGAUUAAUGGGUUCUUAUUACCUCUUGCGGGGGGAGGUAGUAAAGGGGAGGGGCAGGUGGCCUGUGGCGUCCUGAAGAUUUUUCAUGCAUUCUUUUUCCGAGAACUAAACAUUGUCAACUCUAAUAUAUCUAUAGCGCA
ensembl:lncRNA TMSB15B-AS1 TMSB15B antisense RNA 1